CUCACUAGUCGAGUCGGCCUGCGCGGAAGAUGUAACGGGGCUCAAACCACACACCGAAGCUGCGGGUGUCACGUAAGUGACGCGGUAGAGGAGCGUUCUGUAAGCCUGUGAAGGUGAGUUGAGAAGCUUGCUGGAGGUAUCAGAAGUGCGAAUGCUGACAUGAGUAACGACAAUGGGUGUGAAAAACACCCACGCCGAAAGACCAAGGGUUCCUGCGCAACGUUAAUCGACGCAGGGUUAGUCGGUUCCUAAGGCGAGGCUGAAAAGCGUAGUCGAUGGGAAACAGGUUAAUAUUCCUGUACUUCUGGUUACUGCGAUGGAGGGACGGAGAAGGCUAGGCCAGCUUGGCGUUGGUUGUCCAAGUUUAAGGUGGUAGGCUGAAAUCUUAGGUAAAUCCGGGGUUUCAAGGCCGAGAGCUGAUGACGAGUCGUCUUUUAGAUGACGAAGUGGUUGAUGCCAUGCUUCCAAGAAA
rnacentral:rRNA from 1 species